rnacentral:lncRNA from 1 species
CUAAAUAUGAUACCGCAGAAUUUGGUGUAUUUAAAUCAACACCAAAUAAAUUGGUCAUCCAUUCAGGGUUAGUUCCAUUGACUAACUCGCGAGUCUAGCCAAAAGUUUGAUGAACAUGUGGAGUACAAAAUGUUGACUGAGGAUGUGGAACUAGGAAAUAUGUUUCUUCAAUAGUUGUUCCUACAACAUUAUGAAUAAUUGUUGUGCGUGGAUCAUUUUGUUGUUGUGCAACAAACAAGAACUAAGUAGUGUUUUUCCUAUACCAUUCAAUAUACUCCUGUGUAUGUGUGACUGGCCCUUCAACCCAUUGUCUCAUUAAAACAUCAUUGCCUUUAUUUUUCCAAAUAUUAAUUCACCCUGCAAGAUAUUUCAUCUAAUCACCGUAAUGAUUGUCUUGCAUGUCAAUCUGGUGUAGUCGAUCAAGA